ACUCAAAUGAAUAGACGGGGACCCGCACAAGCGGUGGAUGAUGUGGAUUAAUUCGAUGCAACGCGAAAAACCUUACCUACCCUUGACAUGCCAGGAAUCCCGCAGAGAUGCGGGAGUGCCCGAAAGGGAACCUGGGCACAGGUGCUGCAUGGCUGUCGUCAGCUCGUGUCGUGAGAUGUUGGGUUAAGUCCCGCAACGAGCGCAACCCUUGUCACUAGUUGCUACGAAAGAGCACUCUAGUGAGACUGCCGGUGACAAACCGGAGGAAGGUGGGGAUGACGUCAAGUCCUCAUGGCCCUUAUGGGUAGGGCUUCACACGUCAUACAAUGGCUGGUACAAAGGGCUGCCAACCCGCGAGGGGGAGCUAAUCCUGGAAAGCCAGUCGUAGUCCGGAUUGCAGUCUGCAACUCGACUGCAUGAAGUCGGAAUCGCUAGUAAUCGUGGAUCAGCAUGUCACGGUGAAUACGUUCCCGGGUCUUGUACACACCGCCCGU
rnacentral:rRNA from 1 species